rnacentral:lncRNA from 1 species
CAAUGCGAAAUGUAAAUUUACACACAACUCCAAAUUGAGUUAAAUAUUACAUUUUCUUGUUUACAUAACUUGAGAACAAGAAAGGAAACGCUCACAUGAGUUUAAUAAUUCAUAUCCCCGUGUAUAUAAAAGAAUAUACAAAGACACACCCAAAACUCAACAAAAAACCCUGCCACUACGCCUCCAUCUCAACCCUGCUGAUCCUCACCUGCAGGUCUAACCCCUACACCAAGAAAUGGUGCACCGGGUUGUAAACAACACACUCGGUAAGCUAAAAAGCUCGUAUGAGUAAACUCAAAAAACAACACAACAUUUAUCACAUCCAAUAUUCACAAGAGAGAUUGGAUCAAUAAUUUCAAACCACACAUCAAACACAUUACCCAAGAGAUGUACCCAUGAGUCCCAGAUACCCAUUAAUAAAAUACCUCUCAUGACCUACCACAACACUAUGUGUACCCAUGGGUCCCAGAUACCAUACAGUAUCUCCCAUGACCUACACUGACAGACGGACUAGAGCUCUAUUCCUAACCGUAACCAAUCACCCGGCCAAAGGCUUGGAACCCGAUUUGACUGUCUAAUAUCAAUACAAAAAUGAUAAAUAGCAUCUUAACCGCAACCAAUCACCCAAAAAGGGCUUGGAACCCGAUUUGGCUAUUUAUCCAACAAGCACAAUAAUUUUCACAACAUUAUCCACAACAACACAAGAUCACAAUUAUUAUUCUCAACAACAUAAUAUAUAAAUCACAUCAUUAUUCUCAACAUCACAAUAUAAAGAAAACUUGUUUUUAUCUUACCUAUGAGCCGUUGGCGAUCAAGCUCAUGAAAUUUUAAAAACAAUUAAAAGCAUGAUAUUAAAACCAACAUCACCAUCAUUAUCAUUAUAUAACCAUAAUAUCUUUAGGUUCAAAAGUGAACCUUGGUGAGGUUUACUCACCUAAAUCUCCCGCUGCAAAUUCCACAACCGACCAAGGUAAACCAACUCAACUUCACAAAUCACCUAAAAAUAGCACAAUUAAAACCUUAGUAACUAAAAUACUAUAGGUUAACACAAUACCCUUAACUAACCCUUAAUUCAAGAGAUGACAACUUUCCAAAGUCGUCGAACUUAGAUACCCACAAAGGCUGCCUCUAAUCCUCCAUUCCUAACUCAAACCUCCAACAAACCUAAAAUCACACUUAACGUUCUAGCAUGCCAACAUUUCUUAAAAACUAGCCACACUACCACUCAACAAGCUCACAGCAGUAAGGACUACCUAACCACAGGAAACUAGGGCUGCAACUCAACCGGACGCGCCGCCACGCGCCGCCACGCGCCGCCAUAGGCGGCGGCGAGUGGGCCUCACGCGCCACCCCAAACUUCCGAAUUUGAGAAAACUCCCAACAGCAAAGUUGAAGCUUGAAGCAAGGGGAACAACUUUCUGCAAAACCGGCCUCAAAACCUUAAAAACUUGCUUCAAUGCAUGCCUAAACACUACCAGGAGGAAGAGGGGAUCAAGACUCACCUAAACUUGGCCGAAAACGGCGUCGAAAUCGCCGGUUUUCCGGCGGGACAGCGGUAGCUCCGCCGCUUCGUGGCGGCUUCCAGGCGGCGGGACAGCCGGCGGAACUGCUCCAGAAAUGGAGAGGGCUGCUGUGGGAGUCGAAUGGGACCGGUGGCGUCCGGUUUGGUGGCCGGAUGAGGGAGAACUCGGCCGGAGAAAGUGAGAGUUCGGGGGAAGCUCGGGAGAGGAAGAGAGAGAAGAGAGAGAAGAGAGAAAAGAAAGAAAAGAAAGGGAAGAGAGAAAACAGAGACUGACUUUGUUUUUUAGGGUUCCCAAAACAUCCCACACACAUUUUUCUACUUAUACUCUUUUCAAACCCGGAAACAAACUUCCUCUAAACAUAACU